rnacentral:lncRNA from 1 species
GAUACUAAUAUGCUAUAGUGGAUUCUACUAAAGCUACUAGGUUGGCAAUCCUAAACUUAACCAGUGACUUUGGAGGCUAAUAUCUAGCUAGUAUCCAACAAAUUAUCUAUUGUAACCCUAACCACUUCUUUCUAGUCCUGAAUUCUUACCUUUAACUUAUCUCUUAACUUAAGCUCCUUAUCACUUCGAAGCUCAUUGAUAACUCUUAGCAUGUAUCGUAUUUAAUACCAUA